rnacentral:sRNA from 1 species
UGACCGAAAUUGCGUGUGUUUUAUUUGAUACCGUGAUUUUAAAAAUAGGCCAUACGGACAGCCGGGUCAAACGCCGA